rnacentral:rRNA from 1 species
AUUGAACGCUGGCGGCGUGCCUAACACAUGCAAGUCGAGCGGUAACAGGUGUAGCAAUACAUGCUGACGAGCGGCGAACGGGUGAGUAAUGCUUCGGAAUCUACCCAAUGGUGGGGAAUAACCAGCCGAAAGGUUGGCUAAUACCGCAUACGUCCCACGGGAGAAAGCAGGGGAUCGCAAGACCUUGCGCCAAUGGAUGAGCCGAAGUCGGAUUAGCUAGUUGGAGGGUAACGGCCUACCAAGGCGACGAUCCGUAGCUGGUCUGAGAGGACGACCAGCCACACUGGGACUGAGACACGGCCCAGACUCCUACGGGAGGCAGCAGUGGGGAAUAUUGGACAAGUGGGGGAAACCCUGAUCCAGCGACGCCGCGUGUGUGAAGAAGGCCUGCGGGGUUGUAAAGC